ACAUUAAAUUACAGGGGGAGAAAGAGUCCCAGAAAUUCCACAGCCGGGAGGUUGACUGGCAUCUUGCGUAAGCCUGGAAAGAGGAGGGGUCUAGGAGGUCUGAAAACCCUCCUUAGCCUCAGGCUUCUAUAAUUGACCAAGAUUUUUCAGCUUGUGAUUUGAUCCAGCUAUACCCUGUUAGAGGCACUUGCCCCCAACUGAGACCAAGGCUGGAGUGAAUAAGAAUUAGGUGACUCACUGAUAUGUACAAUACACGCGUUCAUAUCUAUUAGGAUAAAUGACACGUCGCUCACUUUAAGCACAGGCAGCUGGAGAUUGUCAUAUUUUGAAAAUGACAACUGUUAUUUAUUUAUUGAGAAUAUUUAUACAGCUUCUUCCUGGGCAUGGAGAAGGCAUUUUUCAGCAUCACUGUGACACUGGGCUGUCACGUGUCUAGAGCAGAAGCCACCUGGGAAGCCUUUACAGUCCUUGCUGCUGCUGCUGCUGCUAAGUCACUUCACUCAUGUCCGACUCUGUGCGACCCCAGAGAUGGUAGCCCACCAGGCUCCCCCGUCCCUGGGAUUCUCCAGGCAAGAACACUGGAGUGGGUUGCCAUUUCCUUCUCCAAUGCGUGAAAGUGAAAAGUGAAAGUGAAGUCGCUCAGUCAUGUCCGACUCCUAGCGACCCCAUAGACUGCAGCCCUUAGGU
ensembl:lncRNA